rnacentral:rRNA from 1 species
AUGGGCACGGAGGUGCUCCCGGCCGUUGACAACAAGGGCAAGCAGCCGCUUCACCCAAUGCCCGACGAGGUUGAGCUGCCGCCCACCACCGAGGAAGACCCGAAGACACCUGAGGGCGGCGACGACGAGGGCAUGGAGGAGCCUCCCAGCAACAAGCGCCGCAACUACGGCCACUACCAUCAAGAGGAUGGCCCAACUCACUUCUGCAAGGUCAUCCUUGCACCGAAGCUUGAGUAUAUCCCCAUGCCCCUGGACUUCACCAAGCACUUCGUCACGGUGCCGACAGAGUGCAAACUCAGGAACAACACCGACUGCUCCUGGAAGGUGACGGUCAAGCUGAUGAACGGCAGGGUGACCCUGGAUCAAGGUUGGGCCACCUACACAGCCGUUCAUCAGAUCAAGAUCGACUACAUGGUGACGUUCAAGCUCCUCACUCCAGACACCCUCAAGGUCAUUGUCGGUGUCAAAACCGGCGGAUCUCGGGUAGGGGGUCCCGAACUGUGCAUCUAG